GAGUUUGAUCUUGGCUCAGAUUGAACGCUGCGGCAUGCCUUACACAUGCAAGUCGAACGGCAGCACGGGAGCUUGCUCCUGGUGGGCCGAAGUGGCGAACGGGUGGAGUAAUGCAUCGGAACGUAUCCUGGAGUGGGGGAUAACGUAGCGAAAGUUACGCUAAUACCGCAUAUUCUGUGAGCAGGAAAGCGGGGGACCUUCGGGGCCUCGCGCUCUUGGAGCGGCCGAUGUCGGAUUAGCUAGUUGGUGAGGUAAAGGCUCACCAAGGCGACGAUCCGUAGCAGGUCUGAGAGGAUGAUCUGCCACACUGGAACUGAGACACGGUCCAGACUCCUACGGGAGGCAGCAGUGGGGAAUUUUGGACAAUGGGGGCAACCCUGAUCCAGCCAUGCCGCGUGAGUGAAGAAGG
rnacentral:rRNA from 1 species